rnacentral:rRNA from 1 species
UUAGUAGCGUAGCUAACGCGUGAAAUUGACCGCCUGGGGAGUACGGUCGCAAGAUUAAAACUCAAAGGAAUUGACGGGGACCCGCACAAGCGGUGGAUGAUGUGGAUUAAUUCGAUGCAACGCGAAGAACCUUACCUGGUCUUGACAUGUACGGAAUCUCUUAGAGAUAGGAGAGUGCCUUCGGGAGCCGUAACACAGGUGCUGCAUGGCUGUCGUCAGCUCGUGUCGUGAGAUGUUGGGUUAAGUCCCGCAACGAGCGCAACCCUUGCCAUUAGUUGCCAUCAUUUGGUUGGGCACUCUAAUGGGACUGCCGGUGACAAACCGGAGGAAGGUGGGGAUGACGUCAAGUCCUCAUGGCCCUUAUGACCAGGGCUUCACACGUCAUACAAUGGUCGGUACAGAGGGUAGCCAAGCCGCGAGGUGGAGCCAAUCCCAGAAAACCGAUCGUAGUCCGGAUUGCACUCUGCAACUCGAGUGCAUGAAGUCGGAAUCGCUAGUAAUCGCAGGUCAGCAUACUGCGGUGAAUACGUUCCCGGGUCUUGUACACACCGCCCGUCACACCAUGGGCAG